CCUACGGGGGGCAGCAGUGAGGAAUAUUGGUCAAUGGCCGGAAGGCUGAACCAGCCAUGCCGCGUGAAGGUCAGUGCCCUAUGGGCGUUAAACUUCUUUUGUGCGGGAGCAAUAAUGGUCACGUGUGGCCAGACGAGAGUACCGUACGAAUAAGCAUCGGCUAACUCCGUGCCAGCAGCCGCGGUAAUACGGGGGAUGCAAGCGUUAUCCGGAUUUAUUGGGUUUAAAGGGUGCGUAGGCUGUGAGGUAAGUCAGCGGUGAAAUGCCCCCGGUCAACGGGGUGAAGUGCCAUUGAUACUGCCUGGCUGGAAUGCGGAUGCCGUGGGAGGAAUGUGUGGUGUAGCGGUGAAAUGCAUAGAUAUCACACAGAACACCGAUUGCGAAGGCAUCUCACGAAUCCGCGAUUGACGCUGAUGCACGAAAGCGUGGGUAUCAAACAGGAUUAGAUACCCUUGUAGUC
rnacentral:rRNA from 1 species